rnacentral:misc_RNA from 1 species
GAUGAAGAACGUAGCGAAAUGCGAUAAGUAAUGUGAAUUGCAGAAUUCAGUGGAUCAUCGAAUCUUUGAACGCACAUUGCGCCCGCCAGUAUUCUGGCGGGCAUGCCUGUUCGAGCGUCAUUACAACCCUCAGGCCCCCGGGCCUGGCGUUGGGGAUCGGCGGAGCCCCCCGUGGGCACACGCCGUCCCCUAAAUGCAGUGGCGGUCCCGCCGCAGCUUCCAUCGCGUAGUAGCUAACACCUCGCGACUGGAGAGCGGCGCGGCCACGCCGUAAAACACCCAACUCUUCUGAAGUUGACCUCGAAUCAGGUAGGAAUACCCGCUGAACUUAAGCAUAUCAAUAGCGGAGGA